rnacentral:rRNA from 1 species
GAUUAAGUUAUUAAGGGCGCACGGUGGAUGCCUUGGCACUAGAAGCCGAUGAAGGACGUUACUAACGACGAUAUGCUUUGGGGAGCUGUAAGUAAGCUUUGAUCCAGAGAUUUCCGAAUGGGGAAACCCAGCAUGAGUUAUGUCAUGUUAUCGAUAUGUGAAUACAUAGCAUAUCAGAAGGCACACCCGGAGAACUGAAACAUCUUAGUACCCGGAGGAAGAGAAAGAAAAUUCGAUUCCCUUAGUAGCGGCGAGCGAAACGGGAAGAGCCCAAACCAACAAGCUUGCUUGUUGGGGUUGUAGGACACUCUAUACGGAGUUACAAAGGACGACAUUAGACGAAUCAUCUGGA